GUAUAAGUGAAUUAAUAAGAUUGUUAAUAUCAUACAUUGUUAAAUGGUUUCUCAAAAGAAGAAGACCAAACAAAAAUGUCCAUAUUGUAAACAUUGUUCUGCUUUUCCUAAAGGACGUUUAAGUUUAACCACUAGGGGGCGAUCGCGCUACAGAAGUACACAUUCAAGAAGAAGACAAUAUUAGCAACAAAAAACGAUGUUUUAGACCACAAAUAGUCACUUAAAAAUAUAUUUCCUUAAAAGAUUUUGUAAAGUCCAAACCUCCAGUGGGAACCCGUCUUACCGGAGGAAGCGAUUCAGGUCUCCGUGCCUCAUGUACUCGAACACCAUGGCCAGCGGCUCUCCGUCCGUGCACACGCCGUAAAAGCGCACAAUGUGCUGGUGCUGCAGCAUGGUCAGAAGCUCCGCCUCCCGCUGGAAGUCCUGCCGGGUCGACUCGUUGGCGUCCUUCAGAGUCUGCGAGGAAGAGAGACUUUGAAGAUCUAGUUUCCAACCAAAUGCCUGAAUAUCAACAAAGUUGUCCACAGAGGAACAUGGAACCCAAUAUUGGGUCAUAAUGGAGCUCAACAGUAAACCCAACACAACAUGAAGCGGGACGAGUGGCGGGAUGCUGGUGAUCCGGUUGGGCUCCAGGCACUGCAGCAUGGCGAACGAACAGCGGCACGCCAGGGGACAUCCUCCCAGAGCGGGCGCAGGCGACAGACUCAAGAUGGCGAGCACCAGGGGUAAAAGCAGAGCCAGGGCCCGGGCUGCCAUCUCCACAGGUGGUGGUGGUGGUGGUGGGGGGGGGUCUGCUCAGCACGAGCAGGCAGGUAUGGUGACUGUAGAGCUGGAGUCUGAGGGCUUCACCAGUACAGCAGAGCUUUCACACGCUCCUCUCAGAGAUCCCAGCUGGUCGGGGUCUGGUACCACAGCUGGACUGAGCAGCAGGAGGGGCAGCCAGGCGAGCAGGCUGAGGGCCCCUGGGGACAUGCUGGUAGUGGGCUGGAGCCUCUCUCUUUCUCCCUCUCUC